rnacentral:rRNA from 1 species
GGUUGUAUGUCUAAAGGGAAACAGCCCAGAACAAGUGUUAAUAAGGUUCCAAAAUUAUUAUUAAGUGAAAUAAAGGUAGUUUAUGUCCUAAACGGCCAGGAAAUGGGCUUAGGAUCGGCCAUUUUUUAAAGACCUCGUAACAGAGCACUGGCUUUGUCCUAAUUUUUAGGGUAAAUUAAGCAUAAGAAGAUAGUGUUUCUAAUUUAGUUUACAUGGAUAUAAGCACCGACGAUAUAACGGAUCUAAAUAAUAUACCGAGACCUUGUCCAUAAUUAUAUAUAUAAUAUUAUAUAACCAGAGUAUAUUAAUUAAUUUUAUUAAUAUGUUAUAGAAUCAUACUAGGGCGGCGUAAUCCCGGCUGCCAGUUGCAACAUAUACAUAUGAGUUAAUUUUUAUCUCUAGCAAGCCUUAUUACCAAUAACCCUGUUGCUACUCCAGAUAGAGAUUUAAGUGCGGGCAUGCUAAAAGUUAUAUGUUAUGUAUCGUUUUAUGGGGUAGCGGAACAUUGGGUAUACCACACCCUUUUAUUUUAUAAAUAAAAAGAGGUACCCCAAGUGAUAAUGCUGACAUGAGUAACGAUAAAGGGUUUUAAGCAAUAAACUUAAAUAGAUGAUGCUUAAAGAUGCCCUCGCCUAAAGCUUAUGGCAUUUAGUUAAAGUAACGGCCUCUAAGUUUAUAUUUUAGUAAACCUAAGGGAUUAAACGAUGAGCAAAUCUAUAAAG